CUGAACGCCUCUAAGUCAGAAUCCGUGCUAGAAAUGAUGAUGUUGGUCCCGCACAUUUGACUUGAGUUAAAAUAGAGCUUUGCUCGUGAACCAAAUCAGGUGGGCUUGGGCCGUCUUUGCGGAAAUGCUUUGGCGAUUUGCCUACGAAUUGUAAUCAUAAUAUGGGCGGGGGUGAAUCCUUUGCAGACGACUUGAAUGGGAACGGGGUACUGUAAGCGGUAGAGUAGCCUUGUUGCUACGAUCCGCUGAGGUUAAGCCCUUGUUCUAAAGAUUUGU
rnacentral:rRNA from 1 species